rnacentral:lncRNA from 1 species
GUUUGAAGUUUUCAGACGAAAUAUUGAAUCCAGUGAUUAUGUUAACAGUUAACUAGAGAUAGUUUAAUGUGUUAAGUUUCUGUAAGGGGGAGGAGCCCCGUUCGAACACGUUUGAGCAGUGAGCGCGCGAUCUUUGAAGAUUCUGGUUGAUGAUGCACGCGAUGGAUUUGGAAAGCAGCAUGUAAUGGUGUUCAUGGAGAUCUAAUUAACGUUACAGGAUUAUGGGCAAGAAUCUCAAGCAUGAAAUCAUUGACCAGAGAAAGUUGGGCAGCUGUUGACAGCUUUCACAACAAAUCAAGACUAAAGAGCCGACUGAUACUAGGUCUCUGAUGCUCAGAGGACUCCCUAUCAUUCAUUUGGCGACAAACCUACAGAUUUCUACAAAGUAUGCUUUGACUCUGAUGACAUUGGAAUCCUCCUCAUUGAGCAUGAAGGUGACAUGCUCUCAUCUUCUCUCCAUCUCAAUCCAACCUCAUUGAAGAUCAUCAUUGAAGGAGAAGUUGUGAUGGACAAUAUUAACGACUUGCCAAAAGCUAUGCGCAUUCUAGAU